CGGCCGCCGCGGCUCGAAGGCCGUGGGGACCCCAGGCCCCAGCGGAAAAGAAAGAGAAGAGAGAAGAGAGGGCGUCAGCGAGGGCCGGGGCGCGGGCGGCCGGCACAGAGAGAGAAACAACAGCCUCACACCCAAAUCGGUUCAAUUGGCUUUGGCGGAGACUACGCGGGCCGGGCCCGCCCGCCAGCCGGCCAGCGCCUGCGCUUUAAGCGGGCUGCGGCUCGGAUGCCCUGGGCACCCCACGCGCGGGCUCUGUGACUCUGGGUUUUGGUCUUUUUGUUUCGUCUUAAGAAACCAAACGGAACAGAAAGGAAAGGAAAUUGAAAAGAAACGGAAUUUUUUUUCUACUGGUUUAAGGCUUUAAAAACAUACAACAGCAGCAUUUAAACAAACCUAACAACAAUAUCUUUUAGGGUUUUUUAUAUAUAUUUCUUUUUGCUUUUUUUUUUUUUGCUUUUGUUUUUAAAAAAGAAGAUAGCAUACCACGGAAUUCAGGCAACUUACAUCAACAA
rnacentral:lncRNA from 1 species